rnacentral:rRNA from 1 species
UAAGGAAUAUUGGGCAAUGGGCGAGAGCCUGACCCAGCCAUCCCGCGUGCCGGACGAAGGUGCUCAGCAUCGUAAACGGCUUUUGGGUGGGAAGAACGGCCUGCACUUGUGCGGGUGUGACGGUACCACCAGAAUAAGCACCGGCUAACUCCGUGCCAGCAGCCGCGGUAAUACGGGGGGUGCGAGCGUUAUCCGGAAUUACUGGGUUUAAAGGGUGCGUAGGCGGCCCGCUAAGUCUGGGGUGAAAGGCCAGGGCUCAACCUUGGGACCGCCUCGGAUACUGGUGGGCUUGAGUUGGGAUGAGGUCGGCGGAAUGCGGCAUGUAGCGGUGAAAUGCAUAGAGAUGCCGUGGAACACCGAUUGCGAAGGCAGCCGACUGGCCCUUAACUGACGCUGAGGCACGAAAGCGUGGGGAGCGAACGGGAUUAGAUACCCCCGUAGUCC